GUGCAUUUGGCCGUGCAAUUCUUCAAGAAGGAUCUGAAAUUGGCCUAGGAGGAAACCAGCUAUUGACCCUUGGAGUUGGUUUAUUGUUUACAGCACUUGCUGCAACUUAUGUAACACGGCUCGCUAAGGACGCUGUAAAAGAUAUUGAGUGAGCAGAAUUAUUUGUGCCCUAACCAAGUAGAGUUUACAAGCUCUUUUAUCAACAUGGACAACUAAAAAGGGCAGAUCGG
rnacentral:misc_RNA from 1 species